GAUAUUGGCAAUUGAUAGCUUAUGGGAGAGGCAGAAUUAGUUCUCUUUAAAGGUAUGGCUAUCACAGGUUGACUACCAUGUAGAGGGGUGGUAUGGUGCUGCUCGUACUCGAAUGCCAAAUUCUGCACCCCAAGAUCUGGAUGCUCCAAGGUGAUGACCUCAGUCACCAUGGCAGCGGCUGCUCCUGAGCCUCCCUGCCAGAGCCUGUUCCUUACCAGAAGACUGUCCACUUCAGACUGCACAAAUGGAGAAAGGGAAUUUGGUAGACCCCUUUCCUUUCUGGUCACUCUUUCACUAUAAAUAAAAGUCCAUUGUGAUUUCUAAG